GAAAGUUUACUUUCACUUCCUGAACUUCGUGGAGUGGCGCUUGUUGUUGGUGUGUGAAGAAACUCUCCUUAGAUCACAUGACCUGGAUGACUGAACCUACAGACAUAUUGACCUGGUUUCUAGGUCACAUGACAGACUGACUGAAGAUGAUGAUGGAGGAAGAGGAGGACAGAGCAGAGUCUGCAGGGUCCAGCUGUCCGUCUGUGAGGAGUGACGGGUCCAAAGGUCAAAAUCCAGGCUUCAGUGGUGAACCUGGAGCAACGAGG